rnacentral:rRNA from 1 species
UACGGGGGGGGCAAGCGUUGUUCGGAAUUACUGGGCGUAAAGGGCUCGUAGGCGGCCAACUAAGUCAGACGUGAAAUCCCUCGGCUUAACCGGGGAACUGCAUCUGAUACUGGAUGGCUUGAGUUCGGGAGAGGGAUGUGGAAUUCCAGGUGUAGCGGUGAAAUGCGUAGAUAUCUGGAGGAACACCGGUGGCGAAAGCGGUUCACUGGCCCGACACUGACACUGAGGUGCGAAAGCUAGGGUAGCAAACGGG